CCUACGGGCGGCAGCAGUGGGGAAUAUUGGGCAAUGGGCGCAAGCCUGACCCAGCAACGCCGCGUGAAGGAAGAAGGCUUUCGGGUUGUAAACUUCUUUUAAGAGGGAAGAGCAGAAGACGGUACCUCUUGAAUAAGCCACGGCUAACUACGUGCCAGCAGCCGCGGUAAUACGUAGGUGGCAAGCGUUGUCCGGAUUUACUUGGUGUAAAGGGCGUGCAGCCGGGAAGACAAGUCAGAUGUGAAAUCCCGCGGCUCAACCGCGGAACUGCAUUUGAAACUGUUUUUCUUGAGUACCGGAGAGGUCAUCGGAAUUCCUUGUGUAGCGGUGAAAUGCGUAGAUAUAUGGAAGAACACCAGUGGCGAAGGCGGCUCUCUGGUCUGCAACUGACGCUGAGGCUCGAAAGCAUGGGUAGCGAACAGGAUUAGAUACCCUAGUAGUC
rnacentral:rRNA from 1 species